AUUGAACGCUGGCGGCAGGCCUAACACAUGCAAGUCGAGCGGAGCGGCGGACGGGUGAGUAAUGCCUAGGAAUCUGCCUGGUAGUGGGGGAUAACUGUCCGAAAGGACAGCUAAUACCGCAUAUUAUUCGAGCGGCCGAUGUCUGAUUAGCUGGUUGGCGGGGUAAAGGCCCACCAAGGCGACGAUCAGUAGCGGGUCUGAGAGGAUGAUCCGCCACACUGGGACUGAGACACGGCCCAGACUCCUACGGGAGGCAGCAGUGGGGAAUAUUGGACAAUGGGCGAAAGCCUGAUCCAGCCAUGCCGCGUGUGUGAAGAAGGUCUUCGGAUUGUAAAGCACUUUAAGUUGGGAGGCGUUACCAACAGAAUAAGCACCGGCUAACUUCGUGCCAGCAGCCGCGGUAAUAC
rnacentral:rRNA from 1 species